UGGGGAAUUUUGGACAAUGGGCGAAAGCCUGAUCCAGCAAUGCCGCGUGUGUGAAGAAGGCCUUCGGGUUGUAAAGCACUUUUGUCCGGAAAGAAAUCCUUGGCUCUAAUACAGUCGGGGGAUGACGGUACCGGAAGAAUAAGCACCGGCUAACUACGUGCCAGCAGCCGCGGUAAUACGUAGGGUGCAAGCGUUAAUCGGAAUUACUGGGCGUAAAGCGUGCGCAGGCGGUUUGCUAAGACCGAUGUGAAAUCCCCGGGCUCAACCUGGGAACUGCAUUGGUGACUGGCAGGCUAGAGUAUGGCAGAGGGGGGUAGAAUUCCACGUGUAGCAGUGGAAUGCGUAGAGAUGUGGAGGAAUACCGAUGGCGAAGGCAGCCCCCUGGGCCAAUACUGACGCUCAUGCACGAAAGCGUGGGGAGCAAAACAGGAUUAGAUACCCCUGGUAGUCCACGCCCUAAAACGAUGUCAACUAGUUGUUGGGGAUUCAUUUCCUUAGUAACGUAGCUAACGCGUGAAGUUGACCGCCUGGGGAGUACGGUCGCAAGAUUAAAACUCAAAUGAAUUGACGGGGUCAUAGCUGUUUCCU
rnacentral:rRNA from 1 species